AGUGAACGCUGGCGGUAGGCCUAACACAUGCAAGUCGAACGGCAGCACAGUAAGAGCUUGCUCUUACGGGUGGCGAGUGGCGGACGGGUGAGGAAUACAUCGGAAUCUACUUUUUCGUGGGGGAUAACGUAGGGAAACUUACGCUAAUACCGCAUACGACCUACGGGUGAAAGCAGGGGAUCUUCGGACCUUGCGCGAUUGAAUGAGCCGAUGUCGGAUUAGCUAGUUGGCGGGGUAAAGGCCCACCAAGGCGGCGAUCCGUAGCUUGUCUGAGAGGAUGAUCAGCCACACUGGAACUGAGACACGGUCCAGACUCCUACGGGAGGCAGCAGUGGGGAAUAUUGGACAAUGGGCGCAAGCCUGAUCCAGCCAUACCGCGUGGGUGAAGAAGGCCUUCGGGUUGUAAAGCCCUUUUGUUGGGAAAGAAAAGCAGCAGGUUAAUACCCCGCUGUUCUGACGGUACCCAAAGAAUAAGCACCGGCUAACCUCGUG
rnacentral:rRNA from 1 species